GUGCUCCCUUUGGCAGCACAUAUACUAAAAUUGGAACGAUACAGAGAAGAUUAGCAUGGCCCCUACACAAGGAUGACAUACAAAUUCAUGAAGCAUUCCAUAUUUUU